GACGAGCCACACAAACGUUAUUCGGAAUUACUGGGCUUAAAGGGUGCGUAGGCGGCGCGGAAAGUUGGGUGUGAAAUCCCUCGGCUCAACCGAGGAAUUGCGCUCAAAACUACCGUGCUCGAGGGAGAUAGAGGAUGCGGAACUUAGGGUGGAGCGGUGAAAUGCGUUGAUAUCCUAGGGAACACCGGUGGCGAAAGCGGCAUUCUGGAUCUCAUCUGACGCUGAUGCACGAAAGCUAGGGUAGCAA
rnacentral:rRNA from 1 species